AGGGCAGUGCAUACUGCGGUUGCUACGGAAAAUUUUUCUAAGUCUUUGACGUUUCGUGGCCUUGUUGUUUACGAUUCGGACUUAGAAAAGUUUUAGCAACUUUGGUUGGUUUCUGAGGACGGCAUGAUCGUGAACUUGGGAGUGAAAAUGGACAUUAAGGAACAUAUAAGGAAAAAGGAUGGUUUUAUGCAUUGAUACGCUAGGGAAACACGAUUCAAUCAGAAAUCAAACGAAGUUCAAAAAGAGCUGAUGACCUUGGCCAUAAGGAAAGGGUUUGCAAAACCUGCAUUGAGCAAAUUUAAUUCGGGAACAAGGCGCCUACAAUUGAUCGUUUAGGAAAGUUCUACGCUACUUUUGGUUUACUCGCAGACCGUUGGAUUACAAGAGUUGAACUACUGAUCAUGUACUGAAUAAGAUUUACGAUUGCUCCACAAUGACUUUCAAUCACUACGGUGCCGAUAUUAGAAAAGACAAGGACGCUGGCUGUAUCUUUCCCGCAAGGCCAAUCUGAACCUUCCAGUAAUGCCAACUCUGAGCCAUUAUGUUUGCAGAUAAAUAAGCACAUCGUCAUGCCGAAAUCUAAAUAAAAGAGAGAGAAAAAACU